rnacentral:rRNA from 1 species
AUUGAACGCUAGCGGCAUGCCUUACACAUGCAAGUCGAACGGCUUGGCGAACGGGUGCUUAAUGUAUCGGACCGUGCCCAUUAGCGAGGGAUACCUCCGCCAACGCGUAGCUUAUACCGCAUACUUUUGGAGCGGCCGCUAUCGGAUUAGCUAGUUGGUGGGGUAACGGCUCACCAAGGCGACGAUCCGUAGCUGGUUCGAGAGGACGACCAGCCACACUGGGACUGAGACACGGCCCAGACUCCUACGGGAGGCAGCAGUAGGGAAUAUUGGACAAUGGGGGAAAGCCUGAUCCAGCCAUCCCGCGUGUGCGAAGAAGGCCUUCGGGUUGUAAAGCACUUUUGGCAGGAAAGCGGUACCUGCAGAAUAAGCACCGGCUAACUACGUGCCAGCAGCCGCGGUAAUUC